GCUUUCGUGGUGUAGUGCUCAGCACGCUCCACGCGUAUUCGAGAGGUCCGUGGUUCGAAUCCCGGCGAGGGCA
rfam:Stegodyphus mimosarum contig47574, whole genome shotgun sequence.